rnacentral:sRNA from 1 species
AUGAGCAACAGUUGGAGGGACGAAGCAUCCGUCUUUCAUCAACUUCAUCUCCGCUUUCCUCGCUGCAAACUCUUUCCGCCGCAACUUCGUCCCAAUUUCCCCUGACUUCAUUUUCAACUGUGGGGGUUCUUCCGUGGCGUUCGUUUUUGUGACUAGCUUGGAAUCCACUACAAUCUCGCAGCUCUUUGGCAGGUCAACAAGUUAAUUGCUCUUGUUUUUCGGUGCCUCCUGUAUGUGUAUGUGUAUGUGUUUCUGUUUUAUAUUUGAUGCGUUCUGUUUCAAAGAGUUAUCAAAGCCAUUCCGGGCAUCGACACUCCUGACGCAAAUGCAGAAACCAAGUUGUUUACUUGUUUAACACUAGUAAAGAACAUGGAACAACCUUGGUUGUGGUGAUUUUGGAAGCUGCUAUACUAGUAAGGUAUGACUCUAGGUCGACCGAUGAUGAUGGCAACAUAGUAUCAGACCAAAGAACGAAGAUGCGGGAGAUAACUACAAAGAUAUGUUUAGCAAGGUGCGGCGAUUGACAAUUAUCCAUGGAACUCUGGCAAUGUUUGGACAUCACGAAGCCUUCUCUACUCCUCUGAUUGUUACAGAUAUCGCAAAGAGUAGAGUUGUUGCUAUAGAGAAGUCUGAUGACAUUCAAAGACGAUACAACGAUGUCAUUGGGGUGCUUCAUCGCAGGCAUGGAGGAUGGGGUAACUGCAUUUGCUUAUUUAUUGUUGACUGCAACAUCUUACAUACCAAGAGGUUAUAUUUGCAUAAAUGUUUUACUAUUAAAUAAUGUGGGUUUGCAGAUCCCACAAGUAUAUCUUAUCGAUUGUGAAUACAAUGCCCGACGCAAAAAGUAUGUAUGCUACCUUAGCCAAGUUCUUACAAUAGAUGGUGCAGGAUCGGGUAGACCUAUUGCUUUACUAGUAUUCGAAUCGAUGCGUCCAUAUGAUCGUGCCUGAGACAUAGAUGAAGUAACAGAGUCACUUUUUUUUGCAUUGCUGAAAGUUGCAUUGGUUGACCCAUUCACGGGAGGAAACUUAAACGGUAAGUUUUAAGUCAAUGAAGAUUUUAAUUAUUCAUUUAUAAAGAACUCAAGGUUAUAUCAUAGUAGUACUAUAUAUCGCAGUAAUUCAUUUUCAUAACCAAAAGUAAUGUUCUAUAGUUGACAAUUAUCAUUUUCGUCAAUUUUUGUGGGAAGUUGCUAAAGUGACAUCCGAAGGCAUUCAAACGAUGUUCAACCACUGUCCAACUUUGUACGCUGUUGUUUGACAUGUUGGAAGAGAGUCAGAUGACCCUUUUUGUGAUGUACAAGUUUGACCAAAUUAGCAACUAAGACUGGUUUCUGUGCUGUUGAUGAUGUGUUUUAUUUUGAAAUGCUGCUAAUUUGUAAAACUAUUUGCCAAGCACCUGGUCUAGUACAGACGCUUGGACAUCCAUUUGUUCAGUUGAAGGGAAAUUUCUCCAGAGAAUCAUCAUUCACAACAGUUGACAUUACUGAUGAGAUCUAUGGGCGGACAACAGUAGAAGAUGAUCCAAGUAACUCACCAUUCGUCAUGGACCCGACGAUUAGGUAUUAUGCGAUUGGUGGUAGACUAACAGGAGUACAUCAUAUUUACAUGACAAGGUGUUCCCAAGCCUUUUUGGAAGAUUUGAUAGUUGGAACCCUAAUAAAACUUAACAGAGGUUGGGAACACCUUGCCAUGUAAAUCCGAUGAACUCUUGAGUCUACCACCAAUCGCCUAAUACCUAAUCGUCGAGUCCAUGGUGAUUGGUGAGUUACUUGGAUCAUCUUGUUCUGUUGUCUGCCCAUAGAUCUCAUCAGUAAUAUCAACUGUUGUGAAGAUGAUUCUCCGAAGAAAUUUCCCUUCAACCGGACUAAUGGAUGUCCAAGGGUUUGUAGUAGACCACGUGCUUGUGCUCUGCAAAUAGUUUUACAAAUUAGCAAUAGUUUAAAAUAAAGCACAUCAUCAACAGCACGGAAAAGACAAGUGAUCACUGUAUUGAUUUCCUCAAGUCUCAGUUGCUAAUUUCGUCAAGCUUGUACAUCACAAAAAGUUUCAUCUGACUCUCUUCCAACGUGUCAAAUCACUUCAUACAAAGUUGGACAAUGGUCCUAAACAUCGUUUGAAUGCCUUUGGAUGUCACUUUCGCAACUUCCCACAAAAAUUGACGAAAAUGAUAAUUGUCAGCCAUACAACAUUACUUUUGGUUAGGAAAAUGAAUUACUGUGAUAUAUAGUACUACUAUGCUAUAACCUUGAGUUCUUUAGAGUUGAAUAAUUAAAAUCUUCAUUGACGUAAAACUUACUGUUAAAGUUUCCUCCCGUGAAUGGUUCAGGUAAUGCAGCUUUCAUCAAUGCAAAAAAAAAAAAAAGUGACUAUGGUACUUCAUCUAUGUCUCUGGCACGAUCAUAUGGACUCAUCAAUUCAAAUACCAGUAAAGCAGCAGGACUACCCAAUCCUGCACAAUCUAUUGUAAGAACUUGGCUGGCUAAGGUAGCAUGCAUACUUUUUGCGUCGGACAGUGUAUUCACACUUGAUAAUAUACUUGUGGGAUAUGCAAACCCACAUUAUUCAAUAGUAAAACAUUUAUGCAAAGAUAACCUGUUGGUAUGUAAGAUGUUGCAAUCAACAAUAAAUAAGCAAAUGCAGUUACCGCAUCCUCCAUGCCCGCGAUGAAGCACCUCGAUGACAUCGUUGUAUCUUCUUUUGAAUGUCGUCGGACUUCUCUAUAGAAUUGAUGCCCAGCAAAAACCACUAAAAUUCCAUGGUUUCCUGCAGCAAUGGAAGCGGUGUGCCUGUAAAUUAAAACGAGAUCCAUCAACUGUCUUUUGAAAUGGAUGUUAAACACAUGAAAAUAAACAUAAAUAUAUCACCUUUCCAUAAAAUUUGUAGGGUUACUG